UACGGAGGAUCCAAGCGUUAUCCGGAUUUAUUGGGUUUAAAGGGUGCGUAGGUGGCUUUGUAAGUCAGUGGUGAAAGUUUUCAGCUUAACUGGAAAAUUGCCAUUGAUACUGCAGGGCUUGAGUACAGAUGAGGUAGGCGGAAUGUGUCAUGUAGCGGUGAAAUGCAUAGAUAUGACACAGAACACCGAUUGCGAAGGCAGCUUACUAAACUGAUACUGACACUGAGGCACGAAAGCGUGGGGAUCAAACAGGAUUAGAUACCCUGGUAGUCCACGCCCUAAACGAUGAUCACUCGAUGUGUGCGAUAUACAGUACGCGUCCAAGCGAAAGCGUUAAGUGAUCCACCUGGGGAGUACGCCGGCAACGGUGAA
rnacentral:rRNA from 1 species